GACGAACGCUGGCGGCGUGCUUAACACAUGCAAGUCGAACGGAAAGGCCCUGCUUUUGUGGGGUGCUCGAGUGGCGAACGGGUGAGUAACACGUGAGUAACCUGCCCUUGACUUUGGGAUAACUUCCGGAAACUGGGGCUAAUACCGGAUAGGAGCUCCUGCUGCAUGGUGGGGGUUGGAAAGUUUCGGCGGUUGGGGAUGGACUCGCGGCUUAUCAGCUUGUUGGUUGGGUAGUGGCUUACCAAGGCUUUGACGGGUAGCCGGCCUGAGAGGGUGACCGGCGACAAUGGGACUGAGAGAGGGCCCAGACUCCUACGGGAGGCAGCAGUGGGGAAUAUUGCACAGUGGGCGGAAGCCUGAUGCAGCGACGCCGCGUGCGGGAUAACGGCCUUCGGGUUGUAAACCGCUUUCGCCUGAGACGAAGCGUGAGUGACGGUAAUGGGUAAAGAAGCACCGGCUAACUACGUG
rnacentral:rRNA from 1 species